AGCAGCCUGCUAUUUUCUUGACCUGCUAUUGGAUCAUAUUUGCCUUGGAAGACAACUGGGUACAUAUUCUACACGAAGCGGGCUCCAGACUCACACAAAAUAGCCAGCGCUGCAAGCUGGGCCCUCCAAUUGCACUCCACCAGAGGCACCUGCCCCCGAUCCCCGGCCGUCGAGGGUCACCAGGACCGGUCCCUGAUGGUCCCGAUGUUCACCCCGGGAGCAGAGGAUGCCCAUUUAGUUCACCAAUGCAUCAAAGGGAGCCUCCAGCUUUCUAAAGCCCCUUUCAUCCAG